rnacentral:sRNA from 1 species
AACUUGCUACAAAGAUGCAGACCAAACUCCUUGCUUUGUUACUGAUGUUGUUCCUGGGUGAGAUGUGUUACUGUCGGGUAGAGGAGAACCCUCAGCCAGGAACAGGAUUUGGAAGAGUUGUCGAACAACUGCUGAGAAACCAACGAACCGGUGAAAAUUCUUUAGAAAACCAGAAUCGUGUGGCAGCAAGAGUGGCCCGGCGGGGUGGGAUGUAUCAGGUCGGGGGGAGGACCCGUCGACUCCCCUGUAAACGCCGCUGGUGGAGGAGGUGCUGAGAAAAAAAAAACUCCACCCACACAAACCUCGUUAUGAGUUCCUCGUGACUGUCUACAAAGAUCUCCUCGGGGGUCACUUGUUAAUGCCAGCUAAGGCUUCAUCAGAUGCCAUGUGUGACUGUCCAUAAAAACAUCUCUAAGACAUUGGAAUAUAAUCAUUUUUUUUUAAUUUAUAUCAUUUAUGUUUUCAUUGGAAUAUUAUAAAGAUUAUAGCCGUAUAACUAACUGGCGUCGAUU